rnacentral:tRNA from 1 species
GCGCCGGUACCUAAGCGGUCAAAGGGGACGCGCUGUAGACGCGUUGACUCCGGUCUUCGCAGGUUCGAAUCCUGCCCGGCGCACCA